CGUGUAGGCGGAUUUUUAAGUCAGGUGUGAAAUCUUUGGGCUCAACCCAGAGUUUGCAUUUGAUACUGGAAGUCUUGAGUGCAGGAGAGGACAGUGGAAUUCCUAGUGUAGCGGUGAAAUGCGUAGAUAUUAGGAGGAACACCAGUGGCGAAGGCGACUGUCUGGACUGUAACUGACGCUGAGGCGCGAAAGCGUGGGGAGCAAACAG
rnacentral:rRNA from 1 species